rnacentral:rRNA from 1 species
GGCUCAGGACGAACGCUGGCGGCGUGCUUAACACAUGCAAGUCGAACGAUGAACCACUUCGGUGGGGAUUAGUGGCGAACGGGUGAGUAACACGUGGGCAAUCUGCCCUGCACUCUGGGACAAGCCCUGGAAACGGGGUCUAAUACCGGAUAUGAGCCGGAACCGCAUGGUUCUGGUUGUAAAGCUCCGGCGGUGCAGGAUGAGCCCGCGGCCUAUCAGCUUGUUGGUGAGGUAANGGCUCACCAAGGCGACGACGGGUAGCCGGCCUGAGAGGGCGACCGGCCACACUGGGACUGAGACACGGCCCAGACUCCUACGGGAGGCAGCAGUGGGGAAUAUUGCACAAUGGGCGAAAGCCUGAUGCAGCGACGCCGCGUGAGGGAUGACGGCCUUCGGGUUGUAAACCUCUUUCAGCAGGGAAGAAGCGAAAGUGACGGUACCUGCAGAAGAAGCGCCGGCUAACUACGUGCCAGCAGCCGCGGUAAUACGUAGGGCGCAAGCGUUGUCCGGAAUUAUUGGGCGUAAAGAGCUCGUAGGCGGCUUGUCACGUCGGAUGUGAAAGCCCGGGGCUUAACCCCGGGUCUGCAUUCGAUACGGGCAGGCUAGAGUUCGGUAGGGGAGAUCGGAAUUCCUGGUGUAGCGGUGAAAUGCGCAGAUAUCAGGAGGAACACCGGUGGCGAAGGCGGAUCUCUGGGCCGAUACUGACGCUGAGGAGCGAAA